rnacentral:rRNA from 1 species
UACGUAGGGUGCAAGCGUUGUCCGGAAUUAUUGGGCGUAAAGAGCUCGUAGGCGGUCUGUCGCGUCGGAUGUGAAAACCCGCGGCUCAACCGCGGGCCUGCAUUCGAUACGGGCAGGCUAGAGUUCGGUAGGGGAGACUGGAAUUCCUGGUGUAGCGGUGAAAUGCGCAGAUAACAGGAGGAACACCGAUGGCGAAGGCAGGUCUCUGGGCCGAUACUGACGCUGAGGAGCGAAAGCGUGGGGAGCGAACAGG